rnacentral:rRNA from 1 species
CAGCCGCCGCGGGAAUACGUAGGGUGCGAGCGUUAAUCGGAAUUACUGGGCGUAAAGCGUGCGCAGGCGGUUCGUUAAGACAGAUGUGAAAUCCCCGGGCUUAACCUGGGAACUGCAUUUGUGACUGAUGGGCUAGAGUAUGGCAGAGGGGGGUAGAAUUCCACGUGUAGCAGUGAAAUGCGUAGAGAUGUGGAGGAAUACCGAUGGCGAAGGCAGCCCCCUGGGCCAAUACUGACGCUCAUGCACGAAAGCGUGGGGAGCAAACAGGAUUAGAUACCCCUGUAGUCCCUGUCUCUUAUAC